rnacentral:ribozyme from 1 species
CAAAAAGACAAAAACAAAAAAAAACAAAAAAAAGCAAUGUAGCAAAAACAAAUAACCAAAUUUCAUUUCAAAUUGAAGUUUUAAAUUUGAAUUUUCUUUUGUUCUUUUCCAUUU